rnacentral:rRNA from 1 species
UGGAGCAUGUGGUUAAUUCGACGCAACGCGAAGAACUUACCAGGCUUGACAUCCCCUGACCGCGUAUGAAAGUACGUUUUCACCUCGGGUGACAGGGAGACAGGUGGUGCAUGGUUGUCGUCAGCUCGUGUCGUGAGAUGUUGGGUUAAGUCCCGCAACGAGCGCAACCCCUACGUUUAGUUGCUAACGCGUGAAGGCGAGCACUCUAGACGAACUGCCGUUGACAAAACGGAGGAAGGUGGGAUGACGUCAAAUCAUCAUGCCCUUAUGUUCUGGGCUACACACGUGCUACAAUGGCCGGUACAGACGGACGCAAAGCCGCGAGGUGGAGCAAAUCCUAAAAAGCCGGUCUCAGUUCGGAUUGCAGGCUGCAAUUCGCCUGCAUGAAGUCGGAAUCGCUAGUAAUCGCAGGUCAGCAUACUGCGGUGAAUACGUUCCCGGGCCUU